rnacentral:rRNA from 1 species
AACGCUGGCGGCGUGCCUAACACAUGCAAGUCGAGCGAGAAAUCGCUUCACUGAUCUUUCGGGUGAUGUAAGCGAUGGAAAGCGGCGGACGGGUGAGUAACGCGUAGGUAACCUGCCCCAUACAGAGGGAUAGCCACUGGAAACGGUGAUUAAUACCUCAUAACACCGGAGUACCGCAUGAUAAACCGGUCAAAGUUUUUCGGUAUGGGAUGGACCUGCGUCUGAUUAGCUGGUUGGUGAGGUAACGGCUCACCAAGGCGACGAUCAGUAGCCGACCUGAGAGGGUGAUCGGCCACAUUGGAACUGAGACACGGUCCAAACUCCUACGGGAGGCAGCAGUGGGGAAUAUUGCACAAUGGGCGCAAGCCUGAUGCAGCAACGCCGCGUGAACGAAGAAGGCUCUUGGGUCGUAAAGUUCUGUUCUGAGGGAAGAAGAUCUGACGGUACCUCAGGAGAAAGCCCCGGCUAACUACGUGCCAGCAGCCGCGGUAAUACGUAGGGGGCGAGCGUUGUCCGGAAUUACUGGGCGUAAAGAGUACGUAGGCGGUUUUGUAAGCGCAUGGUGAAAGGCAACGGCUUAACCGUUGUCAGCCGUGCGAACUGCAGGACUUGAGUGCAGGAGAGGAAAGCGGAAUUCCUGGUGUAGCGGUGAAAUGCGUAGAUAUCAGGACGGAACACCGGUGGCGAAGGCGGCUUUCUGGACUGAUAACUGACGCUGAGGUACGAAAGCGUGGGGAGCAAACAGGAUUAGAUACCCUGGGUAGUCCACGCAGUAAACGAUGAUAACUAACCGCUGGGUAAUGUUAUUCAGUGGCCAAGCGAAAGCGAUAAGUUAUCCACCUGGGGAGUACGACCGCAAGGUUGAAACUCAAAGGAAUUGACGGGGGCCCGCACAAGCGGAGGAACAUGUGGUUUAAUUCGAUGAUACGCGAGGAACCUUACCCGGGCUCGAACGGCAGAGGAACAAUCCAGAGAUGGUGCGGCCCUUCGGGGCUUCUGUCGAGGUGCUGCAUGGUUGUCGUCAGCUCGUGCCGUGAGGUGUCGGCUCAAGUGCCAUAACGAGCGCAACCCUUGCCGUCAGUUACCAGCACGUAGAGGUGGGGACUCUGGCGGGACUGCCACCGCAAGGUGAGAGAAAGGGGGGGAUGACGUCAAAUCAGCACGGCCCUUACGUCCGGGGCGACACACGUGUUACAAUGGGAGUUACAGAGGGGUACUACCUGGUGACAGGAUGGGAAUCUCGAAAAGCUCUCUCAGUCCGGAUCGGAGUCUGCAACCCGACUCCGUGAAGCUGGAUUCGCUAGUAAUCGCGCAUCAGCCAUGGCGCGGUGAAUACGUUCCCGGGCCUUGUACACACCGCCCGUCAAGCCAUGAAAGUCUGGGGCGCCUGAAGUUCGUGACCGCGAGGAGCGACCUAGGGCGAAACAGGUAAUUGGGGCU